AUGGAUUCUUGGCUUUUUAGCUAACAUCAUGUGUAGUAUCUGUUCUUAUCAGUUUAAUAUUUCCUGGCAGGUAGAGCUAUUUGUACUCCUCAAACCCAGCAGGCUUCCUCACACCUCUGGGUUUCUGAAACUGCUUUUCCUUCACUAGGUCUGCCCUCCCCAGUUCUGGGGCUUGGAAAACGGAU